CAGGGCCAGCCCACAGCUCAUGGUCCUGAUUCACCCCUUCUUUUAUCUUUCCCCCACUCUAUCCUGCACUGUGAGGAGCCCCAGUGUACCCUUGAGGAUGUGCCAGUGCACACAGAGUUUCGACCUCUGGAAGAAAAUAAGAACUGUGUCUUCGAGGCCACCAAACUUUGGUAAUUUAACAGCAGCAAGAGGCGAGGAUAACAAAGGAAGCUGAGGAAGUCUGUUCUGGAGGCACCAUGACAAAGCACCAGACAGAAAGCAGUCACGUGUGGGGAGAUGAGCAGAGACACCACUUCUCAAGCACCUGAUUAUUUUUUCUCAGUACUUAGAAGCAAAAAUUAUCCUUAAGAAAAACAACUGCAAACGCAACACAGGCUACACAGAUGAGAAAAUGGGAUUUCAAGAGAGAAGCCUGAAAAGGAAGGUGACUGGAAUAUUAAGAACUGUGAGAUAUUCUGAGGAAACUCUAAUUUGUAAAUUGGUAGAAAUGCCAGUAAUUUGUUGGGAAUUGAAGACCCUCUGUAUUCAAGACUGAAGCUUGGCA